rnacentral:rRNA from 1 species
UCCCCAGACUCCUACGGGAGGCAGCAGUGAGGAAUAUUGGUCAAUGGCCGGAAGGCUGAACCAGCCAAGCCGCGUGAAGGACGAAGGUGCCAAGCAUUUCAAACUUCUUUUGUCAAGGGACAAAAUCAGGCUCGAGAGCCUGACCGAGGGUACUUGAAGAAAAAGCAUCGGCUAACUCCGUGCCAGCAGCCGCGGUAAUACGUAGGUGGCAAGCGUUGUCCGGAUUUACUGGGUGUAAGGGGCGUGCAGCCGGGAAGACAAGUCAGAUGUGAAAUCCCGCGGCUCAACCGCGGAACUGCAUUUGAAACUGUUUUUCUUGAGUAUCGGAGAGGUAAUCGGAAUUCCUAGUGUAGCGGUGAAAUGCGUAGAUAUUAGGAAGAACACCAGUGGCGAAGGCGGAUUACUGGACGACAACUGACGGUGAGGCGCGAAAGCGUGGGGAGCAAACAGGAUUAGAUACCCGGGUAGC